AACACAUUCCUCUCCCAGCCGCACCGCACAGUAUCCCUCGCACAGAGAUUGGCGAACAAACCACAGCGGGCACUGAAGGCAACUGGGGCGACUCCCCUCAACCUCCAUACUGCGCCAAGGACCAACAAAAUCCAGAGCGAAAGAAUUUCCCACUCUGGCUCCGACUCCAAUGCUUUGCAGCAAUUCCCGAACUUCUGAAGUAUUUAAUUGCGGUGAAUUGGCACAGAGUUCGGUGCAUCGGGAACGCGGAUGUGACUUCGUGCAGAUAGGCCCUCACCAGUUUCGGUGGUUUUAGGGGCACCGUGCGCUCCCAUAUUUAAAAGGAAAGGUAUGAGCCUGGAGACUCCCCGCUCAGCAAUCAAACCCAUUCACACACUGUCUUCAGGCAAUCUCAACUGGACUGAGGGAGCGCCGCACUGUCGGAGGGAUGCAGUUUGACCGAGUGUAUGAUGCCCCUGAGACACCUUCUCCUGAACCAGCAGCACACCGGCCUUCCCUCACCAAGGUCAGUACGCUGGACCGGCUCAUCUUCACCCAUUCCGUGUGGCUACAGCUCAGCAUGAACUCCGCCACUUCGCUCCACAUUCUGCAGCGGGAGAGCCCAGGGAUCUUUCUGGUUCGCCAAUCCGCCACAUCUCAGAAGAAGCUACUAUCAGUACGACUGUCUGACAACUGUGAUCCCUCCUUUGUCCAUGACUUCAUCAUCAACGAGGACCCCAGCA